UGCUUGGAGUGCAGCACUACAGCAGUCCUUUGUGAAGCCUGUCUGAGGAGGACUCACCACAAUUCAUUGCACAUCCCUGAUAAAUGGAAUAAUUCUUCUUAUGAACCAUCCUAUCAGGGGCUAUUCAUGUAUUUACCCGAGGGCCAUGAAAACCAUGCUGUGUACAGGAAAGAUAUAAAAGUCAUUGUCAACACAGGACGUCUCUGCACCAUCCUUGUAGAUAUGUGCGAGUGUGAACCUGAAGCCUGCACUCUUUGAUAUCCCACUUUAGGCAUCACCGCUUCCGACAAAGGAGUUUGGUGGAUAUUUGCCCUCAGUUUGAUGAUGGGACCACGUGCCCAGCAUGUCCAAAGGUGGACGGAGAUAUGAUAGUAACUCUGGACAUUAAGAGUCUAAAUGAUGUGCAGAAAAUUGUGGAGAACAUAAUUGCUGUGAAUGCUGAAUCAUCAAAGAAUCAAAAUAUGAACACAAAUAGCCAUUGUGAGGACAAGGACCCAAGGUCUAACUGAGACCUGUAUAUACCUGGGUGUGUAUAUCUGUAUUUGGUUUACGGUGCUUGUAUAUCUAUGUAUUUUUCUAUUUUUGGUUUUUGGACAUGUGUUUGUAUUUUUUUUCUCUCUUUUCUUCCAAGACUUGAGUGCUUGUAUUAGAUUGAAUAAUUGUUGCACCACACCCACCUAGGCCUGUGGCCAAUUUCUUUAAUGAUGACUCUUUUAGGUCUGUUUGUUGUUGUCAUUGACUGUUUGACUCUGAAGAAGACGCAUGUGCGUCAAAACGUUAGUCAUUGUUGACCAAUAAAUACAUUAAAAAAAUUCUGUGCUCCGGUCCUGCUCCUUGGUCUCAGUUAGACCUUGGGACCUUGUCCUCAGAUUGUUGUGUCCUGUUCCGAGAGCAUGGGGUAGGCUGAAGCGCAAGUGAUUCCUUUCGAUUGUUCUACAAAUAGCCAUUGUGUUCUGCUCCAUUCGCACUCGUGGUUAAUAAUCCUUAAAUCUACAACAACAAUACCACUUAUCAAAUCAAAUUAAAGGCAGGACAGACACGCAUCCAGAGUACAGUAACAUGCAAUGCUUGGACCCGUCUGGGGGAGGGACCAAUGCCAACUGUUUUUGAUUGACAUAUGACCAUUCAAUCAUUUUUUCAUCCUUGUGAAAUGACUGCUUGGUGUUUUUCAGUCCUGUAUGUUCACCAGGUUACUAAACGUUGUUCUUUUGUGCUGGAUCAUCUAAUUAA